rnacentral:rRNA from 1 species
AGCAGUCGCCGCGGUAAAACGGAGGGGGCUAGCGUUGUUCGGAAUUACUGGGCGUAAAGGGCGCGUAGGCGGUUUGGCAAGUUUCGUGUGAAAUCUUCGGGCUCAACUUGAAGUCUGCACGGAAAACUGCCGGGCUUGAGUAUGGGAGAGGUGAGUGGAAUUUCCGGUGUAGCGGUGAAAUGCGUAGAUAUCGGAAGGAACACCUGUGGCGAAAGCGGCUCACUGGACCAUAACUGACGCUGAUGCACGAAAGCUAGGGGAGCAAACAGGAUUAGAUACCCCCGUAGUCCCUGUCUCUUAUAC